rnacentral:rRNA from 1 species
GACGAACGCUGGCGGCGUGCCUAAUACAUGCAAGUAGAACGCUGAAGGAGGAGCUUGCUUCUCUGGAUGAGUUGCGAACGGGUGAGUAACGCGUAGGUAACCUGCCUUGUAGCGGGGGAUAACUAUUGGAAACGAUAGCUAAUACCGCAUAAGAGUAGCUGUUGCAUGACAUUUGCUUAAAAGGUUCAAUUGCAUCACUACCAGAUGGACCUUCGUUGUAUUAGCUAGUUGGUGAGGUAACGGCGCACCAAGGCAACGAUACAGCGGCGAACGGAGAGGGGGAGCAGCCACACUGGGAGGGAGACAGGGCCCAGACGCCUACGGGAAGCAGCAGUAGGGAAUCGUCGGCAAUGGACGGAAGUCAGACCGAGCAAGGCCGCGUGAGGGAAGAAGGUUGUCGGAUCGUAAAGCUCUGUUGUAAGAGAAGAACGAGUGUGAGAGUGGAAAGUUCACACUGUGACGGUAUCUGACCAGAAAGGGACGGCUAACUACGUG